CCUCUUCAUAUCGACCAAUCCCCCUCUCCCUCUCCCUCUCCCUCUUCUGCAACUCUCUCUCUGUCUCUCUCUGUCUCUGCUCGUGCAUCAAACCGUCUUCUAGGGUUCUUCAGUGGCGCACGGCGAGCGGCUCUUCUUGGUUCUUGAAUCCCAUGUGAAUCUUGGCGCUCGCCCUCUUGUGAUUCGAGUUACUUGCCCAUUUCUUCUCCCGUGUGGUCUCGCCAAUAUUCCUCUGCUGGGUUUUGCUCCAAUUCUUGAUUCGUCCCGGUGUGUGGCUCCUCCAAUUGAGGCCGCUUUUGCGUUCAAAGACCGAAUCUUGACCGGUUUCGCGACGUGGGUGUUUCGUUUCUUCCGACGGCUGGGUUCUUGGUUCGAUGCUGCGUCUUGGGUUCGGGAGCUAUGGGCGGGUUUUCUGUGGAUGAACGUGGUGCUUAGGGUUUUCGUCGCUUCGGAUAAGUAGGAAUCCCUGUGCGGGCGUGUUCAGUUCUGAUGAAUAGCGUGUUCAGCGAGCAGAUACUGGCGGACAAGCUCUCCAAGCUCAACAGCACACAGCAGUGCAUUGAGACUCUGUCACAUUGGUGUAUAUUUCAUCGAAGUAAGGCGGAGCUGGUUGUUGCAACAUGGGAUAAGCAAUUUCACAACUCGGAAAUGGUUCAGAAAGUUCCUCUAUUAUAUCUUGCAAAUGACAUACUGCAAAACAGCAAGCGCAAGGGAAAUGAAUUUGUGAAUGAAUUCUGGAAGGUUCUUCCAGCAGCACUUAAAGAUGUUGUUGAGAAAGGCGAUGAUCGUGGGAAGAAUGUAGUUUCAAGAUUGGUUGUUAUCUGGGAAGAAAGAAGAGUAUUUGGAUCCCGUGCACAGAACCUCAAAGAUUUAAUGCUUGGAGAAGAAGUUCUUCCUCCCUUGGAAUUAAACAGAAAGCGUUCACGUUCUGUCAGGAUUGUUAAAAGGGAUUCACGCUCAAUUAGAACGAAAUUGUCGAUUGGAUCGACAGCUGAAAAAAUUGUUUCGGCAAUUCACCUGGUUCUUAGUGAGCAUCCUAACGAGGAUGUGGAGAUGAGUAACUGCAAGUCUGCUGUCCAUCGUGUGAGGAAGAUGGAGAAAGAUGUUGAUGUAGCCUGUGCGACUGCUAAGGAUCCAAAGAGGCGAACAUUGGCUAAAGAGCUUGAGAAUGAAGAGAACACCUUAAAGCAGUGCAUCGAGAAACUCAAAUCAGUCGAACCAAGUAGAGUAUUACUUGUAUCUCAUUUAAAAGAAGCACUGCAUGAACAGGAAUCUCAGCUUGAGAAUGUUCGAACUCAAAUACAGGUGGCACAAGCACAAGCAGAAGAAGCUGAAAGUAUGAGAAAACAGCUAAUGGACGAAGAUUAUGUAUUCAAAUCGCCCACCUCUGCUACUCAAGGCCUUGAUAUAAAUGCAAAAGGGAGACAAACGCCCAAGAGGACAGCUGCAGCCAUUGCAGCUGAGGUUGCAGACAAGCUCACAGCUUCUAGCUCCUCACAACUGAUUAUGAGUUCAGUUUUGUCAACGUUUGCUGCUGAAGAGGCAAAGAGUGCUGGGCAUACAAAGAGCUCCAUUAAAUCAGAGAAAACAACACCAGUAUCAGAUGCUAGUGCUUUUAUGCCAUCUCAGCCACAUACUGCUCCUUCGAACCAGUUUGUCGUUGUUCACCAGCAAAACAUUCAGCAGAAUCAAGGCUCGGUGUCUCAAAGUCCAUAUUUACUUCCAAACCAGUCUCCUCAGCAGUAUUUGCAGCAGCCCUCUGGAGCAAGGAUGCCCUCCUAUGGUUAUGUUAACUUCCCAACCAUGUCGGCCGGACCAUCCCCACCACCACAUGUGUCGAGUGCAGUGGUGCCUUUGAGUCAGCAGUCGUUACCCAUGGCACAGAAACAACCAAUGGCUUUGUCUCAGCAGCCGGUUGCUUUAACUCCACAACAACCCAUGCCCUUGAGUCAACAACUGCCCAUUCCUCCUAGUUUUCGGCCGCUUCAGCCACCAGGCAUGGUGUAUUAUAGUCAUCAGCACCAUUCCCAGUAAAAUUGCAAUAAUGAGGAUGCAUAUUCUGUGGCAGCUUUGUCGCGACAAAUUUGAGUAACUUUGUGGAGAGUUUGGUUUCCAGUUAACAGGUUUUGUUCAAUAUAAACAGCCGAUCUGGCCUUUAGUACUACCAGUAAAGCAGGCAAAAUUAUUGGGUGCUCUCGACCUAUUCAUCUUCUCUCCUAUGAGCCACUGGUCUGGACAUGGGGAGCAUGUUGAUCGUAGCAGGCGGUAUGUGAAUAUGAGCUGGUUUUGUGCUGAUAGGUUUCAGCAUUAAUAACUCAGCUAAUUGCUAGGUUAGUCUAGGACUAAACCACAGGUUGAGUCAGUUAGUUACUUGAGAAUUGGGAGAAAGUUAUCUGGCCUCCUGUAGUAGCGAGUCUUGGCCCAUAAUUUUUAGGUUUCUCUUUCGGACUCGAGUCCCCGUGUAAUGUCAUUCACUGUUGAGAAAUAAUCAGAUGAGAGG